GUCAUACUAGCGACACUGACAAAAUCCGUUUCUGCUGCAUUUCCAUCUGUUGAUAAAUCUAGAAAAACAGUAUAAAAGAGGUUUAAAAAAAAGCCAUACCUUCAUUUCUGUCGCACAGAAGUUCUAUUGCAGACUUUCAGGCGUCAACAUGAAGGCUGUUUUCUUCUGCUUCUUUCUGAUUUUGGCUCUGUCAGUUUGGCAAGCUGAAGCGGGUCUUUGUAAGACGGUGUGUGACAAAAUUUGUCCUAUCCCUGGCGUCUGCGACGUAGUAUGUAAAGUUUUAUGCACAGACCCUGUCAGCAUCACUCGUCUACCUCCAAGAAGGUUACCUUAAGGGAUUACCACCGAUAAGACGUCUUAUGUCUGACUACACUCUGUUAACAUAUGGAAACAAUUAUUCUUCUGUUGCCUUGAUGCUGUUUCAAAGCGUUUAGUUAAAGUAAUUGCAGGAAUUUUAUUAAAUAUCAAAUAAAUGCAUUCAUCGUA